CUUAAAAUGAGCAGAUAAAAUUGGCGUUUUCAUGCAGUCCUCUAAUGACGCACUCAUUAGGUCAUAUUUGGGAUUCUCUUUGGUCUUUGGGGUGUCGGGAUCAGUCAGUUUAACUGAAGCAGACAUGGGACUGAGCUGCAGUACAAUGCCUGGCCCUUGCCCUCAGUGCAGGGAAAGCUGUGGGGACGCGUGUGUUUGUUUGUGUCACCGGGAUGAGCCAUGUGUGGACCGCUGCUGUAACCUGUGCUGUCAGGUCUGUCUGGACGGCUGCUGUCUCAUCUGCUCGGAUGACUGUCGAUAUACUCUGUGUUUUAUGUGUACGAGGGUGGCAGACUCCUGCGCUGCAGUUCUGACUGUUGAACAGCCUAGAUCUACAAUGACACAAACAGAAGGUUCUGCUUUGGAAGGAGGCCAGUUGGUUUAAAUCACCCAGUGAAACAUAAUGGAAGCUGAUGUUUUGGAUAAAGAACCCUUUUCUACAUCAUGGUGCCAUUUUCUGUACAGAAAGAGACUGAAAAAAUAAGAAGGAACUGUUCUUUUUUUCUGCAGUGCAUUUGUAGAUGAUUUGCUACCUCUGUAAGUCCACCCAUGCGCCAUUGUAUAUAUAUGCAGGAUUGUGUUAUUCAUAUUAAACUGAUUGUGUGAAUUAUUAUGUGUCUGGAGCAUCCAUAGAAAAGUGAAAACACACUUGCGCACUCAUGCAAAAACAGGAAGAAAAAAAGGGUUUGCUUGAUGUAGUUUGCUCCAGAAUGACUGACUCUCAGAGGACGAGCAGGAAAAACUUGAUUUGCACACCCUGUGGAACCAGCUGUCACAGAGGUACAGUAUUUAUAUGAGUCCACCCAAGGCGUACAUCAGACCAGCCCCGUCAACCUCACGACAGCUCAGCAGUGUCGUGAUUGAGGAUUUUAAUUUCUUCCCGGUUACAAGUGGGACUCGAGACAAAAAGGAAAAUUUAAAGGAAAAAAGAAGACUCUAAACGUCUGAAGACACUUGAAAAAGGCCUGAACCAGGAUACCAGCCAUGGAGGAGGAGUACAAGAGCCCCCCGCCGUCCUAUGAAGAGGUUAUAACCCAGCAGCACACAAGCAACACCAAGCAGAACCAGUCAGCUGAUAGGAGCCAGAAUGCAUGCUGCAGGUGCUGUAUGAGCACCAGGAACUGUCUGAUGAGUCCUGAGUGCGGACGAGCUCUCAACAUUGCCAGCGUUGUCGCCAUGUGCGGCAUGUGCAUUCGUAUGUUUGUCUAGGGCUGUGGGCCAUCUCUUCCAGAUCUCUCAUCAAGUGCUGGUCUUCUCAAAUUAAAAGACAAACAAAGACGUUUACUGUGUUCCAAACCUAAACGAUCCGCAACAUUUAUAAGCUCCACAUGACCAUGCCAAUUCAAAUGCUGUCGAAAAUAGCAGGCAGCACUGCGUCCUUCACAGAAAAUCCCACAAACACACUGGGACCAAAGAUGACCAUUUAAAAUGGGAAAUGUCAAAUAUUGAGUGUUGUUUAUAUAUACAAAGUAGCUUUUCAGUCAGCACUGACACAUAUUGUUGUAAAAGAGAGUCUUUUUUCAGGCGUUUAGCUUAGCAACAUGUUAACCUUGCUGACUUAUGCACAUUAAGAUGUGCCUUCUUUCAAGUGUUUAAACUAUAGAGUGAUAGUGUGAUUCUAAUUAAUGAACUAGCACAUUAAAUUUGUAAAUAAUUUGUAAUAUUGGCAUGAGUUUCAAUGAGAAACUUACAUAUAGCUUACAUAUCUGCUCUGUAUAUAUGCUAUAUAUCUGAUAUAGAGAAUUAAGGCACAGUCACAUUUUUACUCUGCAAAUUUUUACAGAUAAAACAAUAGGAAUUUCUGUAAUUUCUGUAGGAAUCCGCACAAUAUGGAAUUUUGUUUCAGGAUGAAAGAUUUACCAAGGAUUUUGAAGCAGGUUCCAAUUGAUAUCACCAAUUUAAGCAAGAGAAAGAUGUUCAGUUUGGUUUAGCUUUUAUGUGAACUGAGUGUCAUACAUUCCUACAGUGCUGACAAAAGGUCUGUUUCAUCUGUCAUAGACCGCAGCUAUACAUUUUCUAUUUUGGUUCAGAUUACGUAUCACUCAUAUAGAUUUUGAUCACAGUAAACUUUUUCUAAUUGCAUUAAUUAUUGGCCAAAUACACACAGCUGACAAGAAGAGGUAAAAUGUAAGACAUUAGAGUUUAAUACCCCUCUCUUAUCAAAAAAA